rnacentral:rRNA from 1 species
UAGUCCACGCCGUAAACGAUGAGUACUAGUUAUUAGGGGUAUUGACUCCCUUAGUGACGCAGCUAACGCAUUAAGUACUCCGCCUGGGAAGUACGGUCGCAAGACUAAAACUCAAAGGAAUUGACGGGGGCCCGCACAAGCGGUGGAUUAUGUGGUUUAAUUCGAAGCAACGCGCAGAACCUUACCUAGGCUUGAAAUCCUACGAAUCCGAUGUAAUGGUCGGAGUGCUCGCAAGAGAAUGUAGUGACAGGUGCUGCAUGGCUGUCGUCAGCUCGUGUUGUGAAAUGUUGGGUUAAGUCUCGCAACGAGCGCAACCCCUAUCUUUAGUUGCCAGCAUUAAGUUGGGCACUCUAGAGAGACUGCCCGGUUAACCGGAGGAAGGUGGGGAUGACGUCAAGUCCUCAUGGCCCUUAUGCCUAGGGCAACACACGUGCUACAAUGGCCAGGACAAUGAGAAGCGAUACCGCGAGGUGGAGCAAAUCUAUAAACCUGGUCUCAGUUCGG